UGUAAGUCGAGUGUCAGCAUACCCAAAAAGUUCCAAGGGUGCAUAAUGCCAUUGGAUACGUUAAAGAUGCCAACACAGAUUCAUCGUUAAUUGGUAACAAAGCGAUAUAGGUUUUGAUGAUUUGACAAAGGAACACAUGCAUGAACAAGAUCUAUGGAUAUUGUACGCAGGUUAAAAUCAGAAACAAGCAAGAGGCAUGCAUUGUUAUUCUCUUUUACAGGUAAUCGCAUACACACUAAAGUAAAGCAAAAAUUGAGAGCAAAAUAACAAGGCAUUUAUAGUGAGAAAUUCCUGUGAGAUUCAAGGGUGCUAACCUGAAACCACAUGAACCAGAUUGAAGAACUAGUUCCAUGUGUCUUUCUUUAGUUCUUGUUCAAGUAUAGUAGGAGCUUUUGAGUUGUACCUUUCAGCUUUCUUUAGAAGCAAAUUGUACUAAGUACUUGAGUUGUCUAAUUCAAGUUAGAGUUAACUUGAAGUAGUCGCAACAGCCCGUGACGUGUUGCUACAAGGGUUAGAGUUUAAUCUUUAAGUUUGCAAGAGUUUGUAAACUUUGU